GGAAAUACAAAGCUGUGUACCAACUGCAAGAUAUACAUGAGGAACCACCAGACCCAGCUGCCUACAUCUUGGCCCUGACAGCAGCAGUGAAAGAUGAUGAAGAAAAAACACCCCACAGGGUCUGGAGGUGAAUCUGGCUGAAUGCACUGGGACUUUGCUGCCCUCUGACAAUGAACUGUGAGUGGGAUGCAGCGAAGGGAAGGGAUAAAAUGGUGUGCUAAAGGUUCCUUGGACAUUCACGCUGGCAAGUGGACAAACUGAGAUGAAGGACACUGUGAAGAUUCUUUGGGAUGUUUGUCAAGUAAUACAGGACAAAAGGCAAGAACUGGUACUGAAGAAACAAUUUGCAGCUGAAGAAGCUGAAUGUGAAGCUGUGGUCUUGUGCUCAUCUAAAGCUGCAGUAGUUUGGUCUUGCACUUAAGGCACUGGACUCAGAAUCAGAAGAUCUGGAUACAGUUUCUGGCUCUGCGAGAUUUUCUGCCUACCCCUGCUGCAAGUCACUUAAUGUCUCUGUGGCUAA